UCACUAAAACGUUCUAUCGCUCUGAUUUAUAAUUGGAGAGGAAAGUCCGGGCAAGACAGAGCGCCGUUCUGUAGAAAGUACAGAUAUUCGCGAGGGUAUAGAAAGUGUAACAGAAAAUAACCGCUCAUAAUUUUCGGGUAAAACUUUGAGUAAGGGUGAAAAGGCGAGGGUAAAAGCCCACCGUUAUUGUCGGCGACGGCAAUAUUCGUACACACUAACGGCUUGCAAAACCAUGUAUAUCGACAUUUAAGAGUUGCUCGCUCGUUGUCGAGGGGUAGGUUGCUUAGAUAAAUGAUAGAAUUUUAAUUGUAAAAUUAAAAACAAAACCCGGCUUAUAGUUUUAGUGAUUUU
rnacentral:RNase_P_RNA from 1 species